UACGAGGGGGGCGAGCGUUGUUCGGAAUUAUUGGGCGUAAAGAGCGUGUAGGCGGUCCGGUAAGUCCGCUGUGAAAGUCGGGGGCUCAACCCUCGAAUGCCGGUGGAUACUGUCGGGCUAGAGUGCGGAAGAGGCGAGUGGAAUUCCUGGUGUAGCGGUGAAAUGCGCAGAUAUCAGGAGGAACACCUAUUGCGAAGGCAGCUCGCUGGGACGUUACUGACGCUGAGACGCGAAAGCGUGGGGAGCAAACAGG
rnacentral:rRNA from 1 species